rnacentral:lncRNA from 1 species
AGCGGGCACGGCCGGCCCGGGCCCUGCGGCGCUUCCCGGCUCCCCCGCGAACGCGGCAGGCUCGGAGCGCUAUCGCGGGCGGGGGUCGGCGGUGCUCCCCGGGGGGACUCUGUGUUCUCUCCGUGCGUCAGCUGCUCUUUCCGAUUCAGUCGCUCCAGUAACACCUUUUUUCCUACUUGUAGAAGUUGCUAAGGUUUCUCUUGAUUUGAGGACACUGCUGAUGCAUCAUUAAGACUUUCUCAUCAUCUCUGCAGGCAAGAGGCUAUAGUAGGUAUGCAGACAGUGGUUAUAUUAAAAAGGAAGCAGUAUUAACACUUUCUCUGAAGUAGAAGAUGUAGUAGAAACUGAAAAGCUAUUUGUUUUCAGUAAUUGUUUGUGUGCUCGGUCAGUUGA